rnacentral:rRNA from 1 species
AUUGAACGCUAGCGGCAUGCCUCACACAUGCAAGUCGAACGAGUGGCGGACGGGUGAGUAAUGUAUGGGAAACUGCAUGAUAGAGGGGGAUAACUAAUGGAAACGGUGGCUAAUACCGCAUAUAAUCGGAUGUGCCCUGAGGGGUUGAGCAAGUCGGGGGGGUAACGGCUCACAUAGGCGAGGAUCCCUACCUGGUCUGAAGGGAGGACCAGCCAGACUGGGACUGAGACAAGGGCCCUACGCCUACGGGAGGCAGCAGUGGGGAAUAUUGCGCAAUGGGCGAAAGCCUGAUGCAGCAAUCCCGCGUGUAUGAAGAAGGCCUUCGGGUUGUAAAGUACUUUCAGCAGAGAGGCGUUACCCGCAGAAGAAGCACCGGCUAACUCCGUGCCAGCAGCCGCGGUAAUAC